GUGCCAGCAGCCGCGGUAAUACGGGGGAUGCGAGCGUUGUCCGGAUUCACUGGGCGUAAAGGGCGCGUAGGCGGCCGUCUCAGUCGGGCUUGUAAGUGCGGGGCUCACCCCCGUGUUGGGCUCGGGACGGGACGGCUGGGGCGCGGCAGAGGGAGACGGAAUGCCGGGUGUAGUGGUGAAAUGCGUAGAGAUCCGGCGGAACACCGGUGGCGAAAGCGGUCUCCUGGGCCGAGGGCCGACGCUGAGGCGCGAGAGCGUGGGGAGCGAACCGGAUUAGAUACCCGGGUAGUCC
rnacentral:rRNA from 1 species